GGCUCAAAGAGGGGGACCUUCGGGCCUCUCGCGUCAGGAUAUGCCCAGGUGGGAUUAGCUAGUUGGUGAGGUAAUGGCUCACCAAGGCGACGAUCCCUAGCUGGUCUGAGAGGAUGAUCAGCCACACUGGAACUGAGACACGGUCCAGACUCCUACGGGAGGCAGCAGUGGGGAAUAUUGCACAAUGGGCGCAAGCCUGAUGCAGCCAUGCCGCGUGUGUGAAGAAGGCCUUCGGGUUGUAAAGCACUUUCAGUCGUGAGGAAGGUAGUGUAGUUAAUAGCUGCAUUGCUUGACGUUAGCGACAGAAGAAGCACCGGCUAACUCCGUGCCAGCAGCCGCGGUAAUACGGAGGGUGCGAGCGUUAAUCGGAAUUACUGGGCGUAAAGCGCAUGCAGGUGGUUAGUUAAGUCAGAUGUGAAAGCCCGGGGCUCAACCUCGGAACUGCAUUUGAAACUGGCUGACUAGAGUACUGUAGAGGGGGGUAGAAUUUCAGGUGUAGCGGUGAAAUGCGUAAAGAUCUGAAGGAAUACCAGUGGCCAA
rnacentral:rRNA from 1 species